rnacentral:rRNA from 1 species
AUUGAACGCUGGCGGCAGGCCUAACACAUGCAAGUCGAGCGGAUGAAGGGAGCUUGCUCCUGGAUUCAGCGGCGGACGGGUGAGUAAUGCCUAGGAAUCUGCCUGGUAGUGGGGGAUAACGUCCGGAAACGGGCGCUAAUACCGCAUACGUCCUGAGGGAGAAAGUGGGGGAUCUUCGGACCUCACGCUAUCAGAUGAGCCUAGGUCGGAUUAGCUAGUUGGUGGGGUAAAGGCCUACCAAGGCGACGAUCCGUAACUGGUCUGAGAGGAUGAUCAGUCACACUGGAACUGAGACACGGUCCAGACUCCUAAGGGAGGCAGCAGUGGGGAAUAUUGGACAAUGGGCGAAAGCCUGAUCCAGCCAUGCCGCGUGUGUGAAGAAGGUCUUCGGAUUGUAAAGCACUUUAAGUUGGGAGGAGGGGCAGUAAGUUAAUACCUUGCUGUUUUGACGUUACCAACAGAAUAAGCACCGGCUAACUUCGUG